UAGGGAAUUGUUCGCAAUGGGCGCAAGCCUGACGACGCAACGCCGCGUGGAGGAUGAAGACCUUCGGGUCGUAAACUCCUUUCGAUCGAGACGAAUGGCCUCCGGGUGAACAAUCCGGAGGAGUGACGGUACCGAGAGAAGAAGCCCCGGCUAACUCCGUGCCAGCAGCCGCGGUAAGACGGAAGGUGCAAGCGUUGCUCGGAAUCACUGGGCGUAAAGGGUGCGUAGGCGGCCUCGUAAGUCUGACGUGAAAGCCCCGGGCUCAGCCCGGGAAGUGCGCUAGAAACUGUGAGGCUCGAGUGCCGGAGGGGAGAGUGGAAUUCCUGGUGUAGCGGUGAAAUGCGUAGAUAUCAGGAGGAAUACCGGUGGCGAAAGCGACUCUCUGGACGGCAACUGACGCUGAGGCACGAAAGCGUGGGGAGCAAACAGGAUUAGAUACCCGAGUAGUCCCUGAGCGGGCUGGCAAGGCGCAU
rnacentral:rRNA from 1 species